rnacentral:rRNA from 1 species
UGAGCAACCUGCCCCCUACUUCGGGAUAAGCCUUGGAAACGAGGUCUAAUACCGGAUAUGAGCACCUGCCGCAUGGUGGGUGUUGGAAAGUUUUUCGGUGGGGGAUGGGCUCGCGGCCUAUCAGCUUGUUGGUGGGGUAAUGGCCUACCAAGGCGUCGACGGGUAGCCGGCCUGAGAGGGCGACCGGCCACACUGGGACUGAGACACGGCCCAGACUCCGUACGGGAG